GGAAAUCUCAGAUGGUUGUCUACAGUUACAAGGGGGAUUUUUGGACUGAUUUGUGAUUUUUCUGGGAAUGCAACUCAAGUUAGAAGAGGCCAUUAUCUGAAAGAAGAAGAAGCACCAGCUGAUGUGUUGGUUAUUUUAGGGCGACAUUUGCAGUUGCUUGGGCAAUAUCAUGAGCCUCACCUCAUGCAGGUCUGGGUCCCAGACCCAAAGACUG
rnacentral:lncRNA from 1 species